rnacentral:rRNA from 1 species
ACUCCUGCGGGAGGCAGCAGUGGGGAAUAUUGGACAAUGGGCGCAAGCCUGAUCCAGCCAUGCCGCGUGAGUGAUGAAGGCCCUAGGGUUGUAAAGCUCUUUCACCGGUGAAGAUAAUGACGGUAACCGGAGAAGAAGCCCCGGCUAACUUCGUGCCAGCAGCCGCGGUAAUACGAAGGGGGCUAGCGUUGUUCGGAUUUACUGGGCGUAAAGCGCACGUAGGCGGACUAUUAAGUCAGGGGUGAAAUCCCGGGGCUCAACCCCGGAACUGCCUUUGAUACUGGUAGUCUUGAGUUCGAGAGAGGUGAGUGGAAUUCCGAGUGUAGAGGUGAAAUUCGUAGAUAUUCGGAGGAACACCAGUGGCGAAGGCGGCUCACUGGCUCGAUACUGACGCUGAGGUGCGAAAGCGUGGGGAGCAAACAGGAUUAGAAACCCCGGUAGUCCCA